rnacentral:rRNA from 1 species
AGAGUUUGAUCCUGGCUCAGGACGAACGCUGGCGGCGUGCCUAACACAUGCAAGUCGAACGGAGUUGCGUCACGAAGUUCUUCGGAGCGGACGACGCAGCUUAGUGGCGGACGGGUGAGUAACGCGUGAGCAACCUGCCUUUCAGAGGGGGACAACGGUUGGAAACGACCGCUAAUACCGCAUGAAAUGACUGGACCGCAUGAUCCGGUCAUCAAAGAUUUUAUCGCUGAAAGAUGGGCUCGCGUCUGAUUAGAUAGUUGGUGGGGUAACGGCCCACCAAGUCGACGAUCAGUAGCCGGACUGAGAGGUUGAACGGCCACAUUGGGACUGAGAUACGGCCCAGACUCCUACGGGAGGCAGCAGUGGGGAAUAUUGGGCAAUGGGGGCAACCCUGACCCAGCACCGCCGCGUGAAGGAAGAAGGCUUUCGGGUUGUAAACUUCUUUUACCGAGGACGAAGAACGUGACGGUACUCGGAGAAAAAGCCACGGCUAACUACGUGCCAGCAGCCGCGGUAAUACGUAGGGGGCGAGCGUUGUCCGGAAUUACUGGGCGUAAAGGGCACGCAGGCGGUGUGUCAAGCCGGCUGUUAAAGGAUGUGGCUCAACCAUGUCAUGCAGUCGGGACUGAGAUACUGGAGUGCUGGAGAGGCAAGUGGAAUUCCCAGUGUAGCGGUGAAAUGCGUAGAUAUUGGGAAGAACAUCGGUGGCGAAGGCGACUUGCUGGCCAGUAACUGACGCUGAGGUGCGAAAGCCAGGGUAGCAAACGGGAUUAGAUACCCCGGUAGUCCUGGCCGUAAACGAUGGAUGCUAGGUGUGCGAGCAGAGAUGUUGGCGUGCCGCAGUUAACGCGAUAAGCAUCCCGCCUGGGGAGUACGAUCGCAAGAUUGAAACUCAAAGGAAUUGACGGGGGCCCGCACAAGCGGUGGAGCACGUGGUUUAAUUCGAUGCAAACCGAAGAACCUUACCUGGGUUUGACAUGUGAGUGUUAGGAGCUGGAAACAGUAACGACCUGCCGCAAGGCAGGAGCUCACACAGGUGCUGCAUGGCUGUCGUCAGCUCGUGCCGUGAGGUGUCGGCUUAAGUGCCAUAACGAGCGCAACCCCUUUCCAUAGUUGCCAUCAGGUUAUGCUGGGCACUCUGUGGAUACUGCCGCCGCAAGGUGGAGGAGGGUGGGGAUGACGUCAGAUCAGCACGGCCCUUACGUCCGGGGCUACACACGUGUUACAAUGGGCGGUACAGCGAGUUGGUGUCUGGUGACAGUCAUCUAAUCCUGAAAGCCGUUCCCAGUUCGGAUCGGGGUCUGCAACCCGACCCCGUGAAGCUGGAUUCGCUAGUAAUCGCGCAUCAGCCAUGGCGCGGUGAAUACGUUCCCGGGCCUUGUACACACCGCCCGUCAAGCCAUGAAAGCCGGGGGCGCCUGAAGUCCGUGACCGCGAGGGUCGGCCUAGGGUGAAACCGGUGAUUGGGGCUAAGUCGUAACAAGGUAACCGUA